rnacentral:misc_RNA from 1 species
CAUUUGUUUUUAUUAAACGGUCAACAACACGUGUUUAAAAAAGUGAAAAAUUUUUAAUUUUUAGCAAAAAUCUUUAAAAAAGCAGUUUUAAAAGCAACAAAAUGGGACGUUCAAACAAAUCCCAUAAAAGACGCAAUGAAAACGCUAAAGUAAAAAGAGCACGCUAUGCCGUUAAAGAAUUGGCUAUGCUCAAAAAAACUUUAGGCAUCAUGGAUACCGAAGAAGGUGAUACUAUGGAACAAUUAGCAGAUGUGGCUACAGUUAAAACGGCAAAGGAAAUAAAACAUGAGAAAAAAUCCAAAGAAGAAAACGAACUUGCAUUCGAAUUGCAAGAAGAACGUGAACAAGGUGAAAAAAUCACCAUUGUUAAUGAGAAAACCGGUAAAACUCAUGUUUAUAACACUAAAACAUUAAAAGAUCAACAUGGUUCCUAUCCAUCCUGGUAUAAACCACGUAAAACUGCCAAACGUAUGCGCAAGAAGGAUCAUGCCCGUAAACUUAAAUUCAAGCAACACUGGACGGUUACCAAUGUGCCUUUGUAGUGUGGCCAUAUCCGCAAUUCAUUUGUUUAAAGUUUAAGCUGUGAAUACAGUAUACCUACCAUCAAUCUACAAUCAAUAACAUAUUUCAUAUUCAUCACAAUCAAGUCAUUUAAAAUUCAUAUUAUGGUAAGUAAGUUUCACUAUUUUCAUAACAAUUCAUGCAUCUAAUUAUAUUGACAUUUAAACAAACAACCCAUAUCAUUGUUACAAUUGUAAUUUUGUCCUCAAUAAUAAUGAGAAAACCGAACAUAAAAGAAACAUUAAUAAUAAAUUCUUUAUAAGAAAACAAAGACAUUUUAUUCAAUGCUU